UCCGUCCGUCCACCUGCCCGGACAGCCGCCCGUGGACCUCCUUCCCACAAAGGCUCGCUAGUGUUGAUCCAAAAAAAAAGGCUCGCUGGUGGCCUGGCCACCGGCGCUUGACGGCCCACGUGUGCAAGGCCUACUCGGCGUACAGGCUCGCUGGCCACGCUCCUCCCCUGUUCGCCUCGCGAGUUUGCCUUAGCAUCACGCAGUCUCACCGCCCAGCCACGCUUGCUGGCGCAGAGGGCACUGAAUCGCCGCACCUCGGCUACGCGCCACUUGCUGCGCCCGCCGCUCCACCUCCCGUCAAUGCCUGCCGUUCCCAUCGCACCACGUCUGCCGGCGCAGCGCCUUCCGUAGUCCCGCUACUCGGCCAGCCCACUCAACCGCCGCAUCUUGGCACCUCAUUGUACGCCUCCUCAACUGCAUCUGCCAAUGAAUGCUACCGUUCUUGCCAUGGUGGAGCCGUUCUUGGCAUUCAUUUGCAGCAUGCACAUAAACUCCACCCCCAUUAGCCAUUCUACUAUUCCUUCCCCAAGCCUAUAUCCCGAAGGACCAAAGAUCUCCCCGCUGCUGGUGCACCAAAUUCAUGGAGUCCGUGUAGAGGGAGGGCACAACGUCCUGAUCAAAACAAAAAGUUCACAUAAAUUGAUUUUGCUUCUAGAUGUAGCAGCAACAUUAGCCUUCUUGACAAAUUCAG